rnacentral:rRNA from 1 species
AUUGAACGCUGGCGGCAGGCCUAACACAUGCAAGUCGAGCGAGCGGCGGACGGGUGAGUAAUGUCUGGGAAUCUGCCUGAUGGAGGGGGAUAACUACUGGAAACUGUAGCUAAUACCGCAUACCAUAAGAUGUGCCCAGUUGGGUUGAGCUAGUAGGUGGGGUAAUGGCUCACCUAGGCGACGAUCCCUAGCUGGUCUGAGAGGAUGACCAGCCACACUGGAACGGAGACACGGUCCAGACUCCUACGGGAGGCAGCAGUGGGGAAUAUUGCACAAUGGGCGAAAGCCUGAUGCAGCCAUGCCGCGUGUGUGAAGAAGGCCUUCGGGUGGUAAAGCACUUUCAGCGGGGAGGCGUUACUCGCAGAAGAAGCACCGGCUAACUCCGUGCCAGCAGCCGCGGUAAUUC